ACACGACUCUCGGCAACGGAUAUCUAGGCUCUCGCAUCGAUGAAAAACGUAGCAAACUGCGAUACUUGGUGUGAAUUGCAGAAUCCCGUGAACCAUCGAGUCUUUGAACGCAAGUUGCGCCCGAAGCCAUUAGGCCGAGGGCACGUCUGCCUGGGCGUCACGCAUCGCGU
rnacentral:rRNA from 1 species